GAUGCUAUAGUGGUGUGAGUAGUUCUUAGACUUGCAGUACCCAACUACUCGCAGUAUGGUUGCUAUAGUUUGUUUGACUACACAUAAACAUGAUCCCUAGCCAUAUGAAUCCUUAUAGUGGAUGUUGAAUGCAGUAGGUUCACUGAAGGAGUAGGGUGCGUACCUAGAUGGGAUCUAUCGACUUUGAUAGAUAGGGAGUGGUC
rnacentral:lncRNA from 1 species